rnacentral:rRNA from 1 species
CCCUUAGAUGCUCUGGGCCGCACGCGCGCUACACUGGUCGAUGCAACGAGUUUCUUUCCUUGGCCGACAGGCCUGGGCAAUCUUUGAACGCCGGUCGUGAUGGGGAUAGAUCCUUGCAAUUUUUGAUCUUCAACGAGGAAUUCCUAGUAAAUGCGAGUCAUCAUCUCGCGUUGAUUACGUCCCUGCCCUUUGUACACACCGCCCGUCGCACCUACCGAUUGAAUGGUCCGGUGAAGCCUCGGGAUUGCGAAUGCUUCGUGCGGACGCGAGAACUUGGCUAAACCUUACCAUUUAGAGGAAGGUGAAGUCGUAACA